rnacentral:rRNA from 1 species
AACGAACGCUGGCGGCAUGCCUAACACAUGCAAGUCGAACGAGACCUUCGGGUCUAGUGGCGCACGGGUGCGUAACGCGUGGGGAUCUGCCCUUGGGUGCGGAAUAACAGUUAGAAAUGACUGCUAAUACCGCAUAAUGACUCCGGUCCAAAGAUUUAUCGCCCAGGGAUGAGCCCGCGUCGGAUUAGCUAGUUGGUAGGGUAAAAGCCUACCAAGGCAACGAUCCGUAGCUGGUCUGAGAGGAUGAUCAGCCACACUGGGACUGAGACACGGCCAAGACUCCUACGGGAGGCAGCAGUGGGGAAUAUUGGACAAUGGGCGAAAGCCUGAUCCAGCAAUGCCGCGUGAGUGAUGAAGGCCUUAGGGUUGUAAAGCUCUUUUACCCGGGAUGAUAAUGACAGUACCGGGAGAAUAAGCCCCGGCUAACUCCGUGCCAGCCGCCGCCGUAACAC